ACUCAGUGUUUAAACUCUGCAGAAUAACUUUUAUUACUAACUUCUCAUCUAUCUAAUUUCUAUAUGUAUAUUUUCUAACUUAGGAGGAUAUCCUUCAGUUUUACCUAACGGACAUGGAGCUACAUCUAAUGGAUAUGGUGCUCAAGCCGGCCCGACCAAUGGACAGCCAAUGAAAGGCAAUGGCUACGGUGCGCAAGCUGGUGGAUACGGUGGACAAGCAACUAAAGGCAAUGGUUAUGGAGUUCCUGCUGCUGCAACACCAAAUGGUAAUGGUGGACACUAUAAUGGUUAUGGUGCUGCAGCUGGUGUUCCAGGUGGAAAUGGUGCUAAAGCCAAUGGUAAUGGUGCUGCAGCUGCUGCACACAAUGGACCUGUAACAAAGGGCAAUGGAGGAUAUCCUUCAGUUUUACCUAACGGACAUGGAGCUACAUCUAAUGGAUAUGGUGCUCAAGCCGGCCCAACCAAUGGACAGCCAAUGAAAGGCAAUGGCUACGGAGCGCAAGCUGGUGGAUACGGUGGACAAGCAACUAAAGGCAAUGGCUAUGGUGCUGGAUCUAAUGUUCCUAAUGGAAAUGGGGCUAAAACCAAUGGUCAAGGAGCUGCAGCCGGCGGCAAUGGAGCAAGACCAAAUGGACAAGGGGGAGCUGGGAGUAAACCUAUGAAAGGUUAUGGCCGACCACCUUUUGGGGCAGGUCCAGGUGUUGGGAUGGGACCCUCCAGAGGUCUGGGUGUACCUCAGAUUGCCAAGAACCAAAGGGCCCAAUCACAUGGUGGAAAUGGUGGUAAUGGUUAUAAUGGCUAUGGAGCUCGACCCAUGGGAGGUUACAAUGGUGGUUAUGGCCGUGCUGGUAUGGGUCUCGGACCUCGGUAUGGAAAUGGAGGGAUGAAGGGACCAAAGCCAGGCUAUGGUGCUGCAGCUGGUGUACCCAAUGGGCAAGGUGCAAAAACCAAUGGUUAUGCUGGAGCCAGAGCCCCCAAUGGGAAUGGAGCCAUGCCAAAUGGGUAUGGUAAUAUUCCAAAUGGGUAUGGUGCCAAACCCAACAGUGAGAUGGUUUACUUCUUUUGAAAAAUCUUUU
rnacentral:lncRNA from 1 species